rnacentral:rRNA from 1 species
UACGUAGGGUGCGAGCGUUGUCCGGAAUUAUUGGGCGUAAAGAGCUCGUAGGCGGUGUGUCACGUCGGCCGUGAAAACCUGCAGCUUAACUGUGGGCGUGCGGUCGAUACGGGCAUCACUGGAGUUCGGCAGGGGAGACUGGAAUUCCUGGUGUAGCGGUGAAAUGCGCAGAUAUCAGGAGGAACACCGGUGGCGAGGGCGGGUCUCUGGGCAACAACUGACGCUGAGGAGCGAAAGCGUGGGGAGCGAACAGG